AUUGAACGCUGGCGGCAGGCCUAACACAUGCCAGUCGAGCGGAUGAAGGGAGCUUGCUCCUGGAUUCAGCGGCGGACGGGUGAGUAAUGCCUAAGAAUCUGCCUGGUAGUGGGGGAUAACGUCCGGAAACGGGCGCUAAUACCGCAUACGUCCUGAGGGAGAAAGUGGGGGAUCUUCGGACCUCACGCUAUCAGAUGAGCCUAGGUCGGAUUAGCUAGUUGGUGGGGUAAAGGCCUACCAAGGCGACGAUCCGUAACUGGUCUGAGAGGAUGAUCAGUCACACUGGAACUGAGACACGGUCCAGACUCCUACGGGAGGCAGCAGUGGGGAAUAUUGGACAAUGGGCGAAAGCCUGAUCCAGCCAUGCCGCGUGUGUGAAGAAGGUCUUCGGAUUGUAAAGCACUUUAAGUUGGGAGGAAGGGCAGUAAGUUAAUACCUUGCUGUUUUGACGUUACCAACAGAAUAAGCACCGGCUAACUUCGUG
rnacentral:rRNA from 1 species